rnacentral:rRNA from 1 species
AGCGACCGCUGGCGGCAGGCCUAACACAUGCAAGUCGAACGAAGUCUUCGGACUUAGUGGCGGACGGGUGAGUAACACGUGGGAACGUACCUGUUGGUGCGGAACAACUCAGGGCAACUUGAGCUAAUACCGGAUGAGACCGUAGGGGGAAAUAUUGAUCGCCGAAAGAGCGGCCCGCGUUAGAUAAGCUAGUUAGUAAUGUAAAGGCUCACCAAGGCUACGAUCUAUAGCCCGUCAGAGAGGCAGAUCAGGGACACUGGGACUGAGACACGGCCCAGACUCCUACGGAAGGCAGGAGUUGGGAAUCUUGCGCAAUGGGCGAAAGCCUGACGCAGCCAUGCCGCGUGAAUGUUGAAGGUCUUAGGAUUGUAAAAUUCUUUUACCAGGGACGAUAAUGACGGUACCUGGAGAAAAAGCCCCGGCUAACUUCGUGCCAGCCGCCGCCGUAAUAC